rnacentral:tRNA from 1 species
UCCUUGAUAGCUCAGUUGGUAAAGUAUCUGCCUGCAAAGCAGCAGACCCUGGUUUGAUUCCUGGGUCAGGAA